GUGGCCAGCAGCCGCGGUAAUACCGGCAGCCCGAGUGAUGGCCGAUCUUAUUGGGCCUAAAGCGUCCGUAGCUGGGUCUGAAAGUCCAUCGGGAAAUCCACUCGCUCAACGAGUGGCCGUCCGGUGGAAACUCCACACCUUGGGACCGGAAGGCUCGAAGGGUACGUUCGGGGUAGGAGUGAAAUCCCAUAAUCCCGCACGGACCACCGAUGGCGAAAGCACUUCGAGAAAACGGAUCCGACAGUGAGGGACGAAAGCUAAGAUCGCGAACCGGAUUAGAAACCCGUUGUAGUCC
rnacentral:rRNA from 1 species